rnacentral:lncRNA from 1 species
CUGCUUAUGAAAGAGCUUAAAGCUCACUUAUCGUGUGGCUUAUGAAAGAGCCUAAAGCUCACUUGCCCUUGUUACUUAUAAAGAGCAUAAAGCUCACUUGCCCAUGCUGCUUAUUGAAAACUUAAAGCUCACUUGUCCCUGUCAUUUGUAAAAGAACUUAAAGCUCACUUAUCCUCAUUGUUAAUUGAAGAGCUUAAAGCAUAAAGCUCACUUGUCCCUGCUGCAUAUUAAACAGCAUAAAGCUCGCGUGUCCCUAUGGCUUAUAGAAAAGCUUGAAGGUUAGUUGUCCCAGUCUCUUAUAGAAGAGUUUAAAGCUCACGCUCCCUGUUGCUUAUAAAAGAGAUUAAAAUAAUCUUGUCCAUGUCCCUAAUAGAACAACUUAAAGCUCACAUAAAAGAGCAUGUAGCUCACGUGUCCAUAUGGAUAUAAAAUAGCAUAAAGCUCAACGUUUCCUUCCCAUUUAUGAAAAAGCUUAGAGGUCACUUGUCCCUCUCGCUUAUAAAAGGGCUUAAAGCUCACGGGUCCCUGUUGUUUAAUAUAAGAGCUUAAAGCUCACUUUUCUCUGCCACUCGUAAAAGACCAUAAAGCUUACUUGCUCCUGCCGCUUAUAAAAGAGCGUAAAGCUCACUUGUCCCUGUCAUUUAUGAAAGAGUUUUAACGCUCACUUGUUCCCAUCAUUAAUUAAAGAGCUUGAAGCAUAACGCUCACUUGUCCCUGCUGCUUAUUAAAGAGCAUAAAGCCCACUUGUCCCUCUGGCUUAUGGAAAAGCUUAAAGGUUGCUUGUCCCUGUCUCCUAUAGAAGAGUUUAAAGCUCAUGUGUCCAUGUUGCUUAUAAAAGAGAUUAAUAUAAACUUGUCCAUGUCCCUACUAAAAUAACUUAAAGCUCACAUAAAAGAGCAUGACGCUCACGUGUCCCGAUGUUGAUUAUAAAAGAGCUUAAAGCUCACUUGUCCUCGUCGCUUGCAAAAGAGCUAAAGCUCACUUGUCCCCCCUCCCCCCGCGCUUAUAAAAGAACUUAAAAGCUCACUUGUCUCUGCCGCUUAUAGAAGAGCUCAAAGUUCUGGGGUCUGUGUAUAUAAAAGAGCUUAAAGCUCAUGUGUCCCGGUUGCUUAUAAAAGAGCUUAAAGCUCACUUGUCCCUCUCGUUUAUAAAAAAGAGCAUAAAGGUCACAUGUCUUUAUCGCUUCUUAAAGAGCUUAAAGCUCACUUGUCCCUAUGGCUUAUAAAAGAGCUUGAAGCUCAUUCGUCCUGCUGCUUAUAAAAGAGUAGGAAGCUCACGUGUCAAUGUGGCUCAUAAAAGAGCUUAAAGUUUGCUUGUCUCUGUAGCUUAUAAAAGGGCUUAAAGCUGAAAGCUCAUGUGUCCUAUUGGCUUAUAAAAGAGUUUAAAGCUCACGUGUCCCUUCUGUUCAUAAAAGAGUUUAGUGCUCAUGUGUCCCUCUUACUUACAAAAGAGCGCAAUGCUCAUGUGUCACUCCUAAGCAAGAGCUUAAUGCUCACAUGUCCCUGGUGCUUAUAAAAGAGCUUAAAGCUCAUGUGUCCCGGUUGCUUAUAAAAGUGCUUAACACUCACGUGUCCUUGCUUAAGAAAGAGUUUAAUGCUCAUAACCCAAUGAUUACGAAAUAGCUUGAUGAUCAUGUGUGAAAGCGCUUAAUGCUCAAAUGUCCCUGUUGCUUAUCUAAAAACUUUCUCGAGUGUCCCUGUUGCAUAUGAAAAGAGCUUAAUGCGCACGUAUCCCUCAGAGCUGAUGCUCACAUGUCCCUCAUGUGUCCCUGUGGCAUAUGAAAGAGCUUACAGCUCACUUGUCCCUAUCAAUUAUAAAAGUGCUUAAAGCUCACUUGUGCCUAUUCCUUAUUAAAGCGCCUAAAGCUUACGUGUUCCCUGUUGCUGAUAAAAGAGUUUCAAGUUUACUUGCCCCCAUCGCUUAUAAAAGAGCUUAAAGCUCACAUAAAAUAGCAUGAAGCUCACUUGUCCUUGUGAAUUAUAAAAGAGUUUAGAGCUCACUUGUCGGUGUCGCUUAUAAAAGAGCUUAAAGCUCACUUGUCCCUCCCACUUAUACAAGAGCAUAAAGCUCACGUGUCCUGGUUGCUUGUAAAAUAGCUUAUAGCUGACUUGUCCCUCUCUCUCGCUCUCUUAUAAAAGAGCUUAAACCUCACGUCUCCCUGUCACUUAUGAAAGAGCAUUCAGCUCACUUGUCUAUGUCACUUAUAAAGAGCUCAAAGCUCAUGUGUCUAUGUCCCUUAUAAAAGAGCAUGAAGCGCACGUGUCUCUGUGGCCUAUAAAAGAGCUUAAAGCUCACUUCUCCCUGUUGCUUAUCAAAGAGCUUAAAAGUUACUUGUCCCUCCCCAUUUGUAAAUGUCCCUGUCGUUUAUAAAAUUGCAUAUAGCUCAUGUGUCCUUGAUGCUUGUAAAAGAGCUUAAAGCUCACGUGUCUAUAUCGCUUAUAAAAGAGCUUAAAGCUCUAUAUCGCUUAUAAAAGGCUUAAAGCUCAUGUGUCUCUAUUGCUAAGGCUCAUGUGUCCCUAUUGUUUAUAAAAGAGCUUAACGGCACAGUUACUCUUGCUUAUAAAAGAGCUUAAUGCUCAUUUAUCCUAAUGAUUAUGAAGUAGCACAAUGCUUAUGAAAGAACUUGCUCAAAUGUCCAUGUUGCUUAUGAAAAGCGUCUAAUGCUCAGGUAUCACUCAUAGCUUGAUUCUCACAUGUCCCUACUGCUUAUGAAAGAGCUUAAAGCUCACUUAUCGUGUGGCUUAUGAAAGAGCCUAAAGCUCACUUGCCCUUGUUACUUAUAAAAUAGCAUAAAGCUCACUUGCCCAUGCUGCUUAUUGAAAAACUUUAAAGCUCACUUGUCCCUGUCAUUUGUAAAAGAACUUAAAGCUCACUUAUCCUCAUUGUUAAUUGAAGAGCUUAAAGAUAAAGCUCACUUAGGUCCCUCUGCAUAUUAAACACUAAAGCUCGCGUGUCCCUAUGGCUUAUAGAAAGCUUGAAGGUUAGUUGUCCCAGUCUCUUAUAAAAGAGUUUAAAGCUGACGCUCCCUGUUGCUUAUAAAAGAGAUUAAAAUAAUCUUGUCCAUGUCCCUAAUAGAACAUCUUAAAGUCACAUAAAAGAGAUGAGCUCACGUGUCCAUAUGGAUAUAAAAUAGCAUAAAGCUCAACGUUUCCUUCCCAUUUAUGAAAAAGCUUAGAGGUCACUUGUCUCUCUCGCUUAUAAAAGGGCUUAAAGCUCACGGGUCCCUGUUGUUUAAUAUAAGAGCUUAAAGUUCACCUUUCUCUGCCACUCGUAAAAGACCGUAAAGCUUACUUGCUCCUGCCGCUUAUAAAAGAGCGUAAAACUCACUUGUCCCUGUCAUUUAUGAAAGAGUUUUAACGAUCACUUGUUCCCAUCAUUAAUUAAAGAGCUUGAAGCAUAACGCUCACUUGUCCCUGCUGCUUAUUAAACAACAUAAAGCCCACUUGUCCCUCUGGCUUAUGGAAAAGCUUAAAGGUUGCUCGUCCCUGUCUCCUAUAGAAGAGUUUAAAGCUCAUGUGUCCAUGUUGCUACUAAAAUAACUUAAAGCUCACAUAACAGAGCAUGACGCUCACAUAUCCCGAUGUUGAUUAUAAAAGAGCUUAAAGCUCACUUGUCCUCGUCGCUUGCAAAAGAGCUUAAAGCUCACUUGUCCUCGUCGCUUGCAAAAGAGCUAAAGCUCACUUGUCCCCCAACGCCCCCGCUUAUAAAGAGCUUAAAAGCUCACUGUCUCUGCGCUUAUAAAGAGUUAAAGUUCUGGGGUCUGUAUAAAAGAGCUUAAAGCUCACUUGUCCCCUCGUUUAUAAAAAAGAGCAUAAAGGUCACAUGUCUUUAUCGCUUCUUAAAGAGCUUAAAGCUACUUGUCCCUAUGGCUUAUAAAAGAGCUUGAAGCUCAUUCGUCCUGCUGUUAAAAGAGUAUGAAGUUCACGUGUCCCUGUGGCUCAUAAAAGAGCUUAAACUUUGCUUCUCCCUGUAGCUUAUAAGGCGUAAAGAACUAUGUCAGUGUUCCUAUGGUAUAAAGUUUAAAGCUCACGUGUCCCUUCUGUUCACAGAAGAGUUUAGUGCUCAUGUGUCCCUCUUACUUACAAAAGAGCGCAAUGCUCAUGUGUCACUCCUAAGCAAGAGCUUAAUGCUCACAUGUCCCUGGUGCUUAUAAAAGAGCUUAAAGCUCAUGUGUCCCGGUUGCUUAUAAAAGUGCUUAAGACUCACGUGUCCUUGCUUAAAAUGCUCAUAACCCAAUGAUUACGAAAUAGCUUGAUGAUCAUGUGUGAAAGCGCUUGAUGCUCAAAUGUCCCUGUUGCUUAUCUAAAAACUUUCUCGAGUGUCCCUGUUGCAUAUGAAAAGAGCUUAAUGCGCACGUAUCCCUCAGAGCUGAUGCUCACAUGUCCCUCAUGUGUCCCUGUGGCAUAUGAAAGAGCUUACAGCUCACUUGUCCCUAUCAAUUAUAACAGAGCUUAAAGCUCACUUGUCCCUAUUCCUUAUUAAAGCGCCUAAAGCUUACGUGUUCCGUGUUGCUUAUAAAAGAGUUUCAAGUUUACUUGCCCCCAUCACUUAUAAAAGAGCUUAAAGCUCACAUAAAAUAGCAUGAAGCUCACUUGUCCUUGUGAAUUAUAAAAGAGUUUAGAGCUCACUUGUCGGUGUCGCUUAUAAAAGAGCUUAAAGCUCACUUGUCCCUACUUAUACAAGAGCAUAAAGCUACGUGUCCUGGUUGCUUGUAAAUAGCUUAUAGAUUCCUCUCUCUCUCUUAUAAAAGAGCUUAAACCUCACGUCUCCCUGUCACUUAUAAAAGAGCAUUCAGCUCACUUGUCUAUGUCUUAAAAGAGCUCAAAGCUCAUGUGUCCAUGUCCCUUAUAAAAGAGCAUGAAGCGCACGUGUCUCUGUGGCCUAUAAAAGAGCUUAAAGCUCACUUCUCCCUGUUGCUUAUCAAAGAGCUUAAAAGUUACUUGUCCCUCCCCAUUUGUAAAUGUCCCUGCGUUUAUAAAAUUGCAUAUAGCUCAUGUGUCCUUGAUGCUUGUAAAAGAGCUUAAAGCUCACGUGUCUAUAUCGCUUAUAAAAGAGCUUAAGGCUCAUGUGUCUCUAGCUUAAGGCUCAUUUGUAAAAAAGAGCUUAACGGCACAUGUUCUCUUGCUUAUAAAAGAGCUUAAUGCUCAUAUCCUAAUGAUUAUGAAGUAGCACAAUGCUUAUGAAAGAAUUGCUCAAAUGUCCAUGUUGCUUAUGAAAAGCGUCUAAUGCUCAGGUAUCACUCAUAGCUUGAUUCUACAUGUCCCUACUGCUUAUAAAGAGCUUAAGCUCACUUAUCGUGUGGCUUAUGAAAGAGCCUAAAGCUCACUUGCCCUUGUUACUUAUAAAAAGCAUAAAGCUCACUUGCCCAUGCUGCUUAUUGAAAAACUUAAAGCUCACUUGUCCCUGUCAUUUGUAAAAGAACUUAACUCACUUAUCCUCAUGUUAAUUGAAGAGUUAAAGCAUAAAGCUCACUUGUCCCUCUGCAUAUUAAACAGCAUAAAGCUCGCGUGUCCCUAUGGCUUAUAGAAAAGCUUGAAGGUUAGUUGUCCCAGUCUCUUAUAGAAGAGUUUAAAGCUCACGUCCUGUUGCUUAUAAAAGAGAUUAAAAUAAUCUUGUCCAUGCCCUAAUAGAACAACUUAAAGCUCACAUAAAAGAGCAUGUAGCUCACGUGUCCAUAUGGAUAUAAAAUAGCAUAAAGCAACUUUCUUCCCAUUUAUGAAAAAGCUUAAGGUCACUUGUCCCUCUCGCUUAUAAAAGGGCUUAAAGCUCACGGUCCUGUUGUUAAUAUAAGAGCUUAAAGCUCACUUUUCUCUGCCACUCGUAAGACCAUAAAGCUUACUUGUCUGCCGCUUAUAAAAGAGCGUAAACUCACUUGUCCUGUCAUUUAUGAAAGAGUUUUAACGCUCACUUGUUCCCAUCAUUAAUUAAGAGCUUGAAGCAUAACGUCACUGUCCACUGCUUAUUAAAGAGCAUAAAGCCCACUUGUCCCUAUGGCUUAUGGAAAAGCUUAAAG